AUACAGAGGGUGCGAGCGUUAAUCGGAAUUACUGGGCGUAAAGCGCGCGUAGGCGGCUUGGUCAGUCGGAUGUGAAAGCCCCGGGCUCAACCUGGGAAUGGCAUUCGAUACUGCCAGGCUAGAGUAUGGGAGAGGGAAGUGGAAUUUCCGGUGUAGCGGUGAAAUGCGUAGAUAUCGGAAGGAACACCAGUGGCGAAGGCGACUUCCUGGCCCAAUACUGACGCUGAGGUGCGAAAGCGUGGGGAGCGAACAGGAUGAGAAACCCUAGUAGUCC
rnacentral:rRNA from 1 species